UGGGGAAUAUUGGACAAUGGGGGGAACCCUGAUCCAGCCAUGCCGCGUGUGUGAAGAAGGCCUUAUGGUUGUAAAGCACUUUAAGCGAGGAGGAGGGUACUGGUAUUAAUACUACCAGGUACUGGACGUUAUUCGCAGAAUAAGCACCGGCUAACUCUGUGCCAGCAGCCGCGGUAAUACAGAGGGUGCGAGCGUUAAUCGGAUUUACUGGGCGUAAAGCGUGCGUAGGCGGCUGAUUAAGUCGGAUGUGAAAUCCCUGAGCUUAACUUAGGAAUUGCAUUCGAUACUGGUCAGCUAGAGUAUGGGAGAGGAUGGUAGAAUUCCAGGUGUAGCGGUGAAAUGCGUAGAGAUCUGGAGGAAUACCGAUGGCGAAGGCAGCCAUCUGGCCUAAUACUGACGCUGAGGUACGAAAGCAUGGGGAGCAAACAGG
rnacentral:rRNA from 1 species